rnacentral:lncRNA from 1 species
UCUACCAGCCUUGUUUGAUGUAGUAGAAAGAUGCUUCUUCCUUCUUUCAUUAACAAUAAAAUUUGAAAACUUUACAAAUUGUUAACGGCUAAUUGGUAUUUUCCUAAGAAUAAUAUAUAUAGCGACUAAUACAGCAACCAUUCAGAAAAGGCCCCCUUAAGUAAAAUUUCCUUUUUCCGGCUCUGAUGGAUGGCUAAAGCAGCGCUUUUCCAUUAUUUCGACACAAAAGGAAACGUUCACGUACAUGUCGAUGCCAAUGAGGGCC